GAGUUUGAUCUUGGCUCAGAUUGAACGCUGGCGGCAUGCCUUACACAUGCAAGUCGAACGGCAGCAUGAUCUAGCUUGCUAGAUUGAUGGCGAGUGGCGAACGGGUGAGUAAUACAUCGGAACGUGCCCUGUAGUGGGGAUAACUAGUCGAAAGACUAGCUAAUACCGCAUACGACCUGAGGGUGAAAGUGGGGGACCGCAAGGCCUCAUGCUAUAGGAGCGGCCGAUGUCUGAUUAGCUAGUUGGUGGGGUAAAGGCCCACCAAGGCGACGAUCAGUAGCUGGUCUGAGAGGACGAUCAGCCACACUGGGACUGAGACACGGCCCAGACUCCUACGGGAGGCAGCAGUGGGGAAUUUUGGACAAUGGGCGAAAGCCUGAUCCAGCAAUGCCGCGUGUGUGAAGAAGGCCUCGGUGU
rnacentral:rRNA from 1 species